rnacentral:antisense_RNA from 1 species
CUUCAGCGACCCCAGCCACAGCGGCACGGCCCGGUCCUGGCCGUAGGUCGCCAGCACCGCCUGCGCCUC